UGGACCAGGACUCUGGGUCUUCAGGGCUCC
rnacentral:piRNA from 2 species